ACAGAAGUAGGUAAAAAUUGGAGGACAGUGAAUACAGACAAUUGUCUCAACACAUCAAAGGAAGGAGACAGAAUAAUGAUAGUAUGGUCAAGGAAGACAAAAGAGGAGUGCUUUUUUGUGUGUAUAUGUGUAUAUGCUUGUGUGUGAGUGUGUGUGUGUUUAAUAAGAAAAAUAGUAAGUCAUUAUUCUUAUCUUCCUACUGGGCAGGCACUACAACCAUACCAUAAAGCAAUCUGUGUCCAGGACAGGAAGCAUCCAAGUGAAAAUCCUUCAUUGGCUUCAGAUGGAUGGUGGCCCAUAUUUUACAGACGGAUGCUUUAAUGCUGUGAGCCUGUGCAGUGUCAUUUGGAAUAUUUUGUUACAUCUAGAAGUAGAAUUUAGCACCUUGAUGAUAUUAAAGUUCCCAGUCUCUUCAAGACCUAAGAUGCUAUUCGUCUGACAUGAGAACUUACUCCAAUAACAGUAAAAUCCACCAGCAAGACUAACUGAAUAAAUCAGGAAAGGCUUGCCAGACAACGUACCCUAAAUUCUAGAUACCAGAGUGUUAGACAUGCAAAGGAGGCAGAAUCACAGACCAUGAAUAGGCACUGUCACCCAAUAGCAUAGACUUGAAUCCUGUCUUUAACAUUAUAUGGCUAUGUGACCUAAGGCAAGUUCAAAUCUCUCUCUGAUUCAAUUUUCUGAGCUAUAAAAUAGAAAUACAACAACAAGAAGACACCUACUUGUAUUUGUUGUGAGCAUUAAAAGAGUUAAUACCCAUUAAGUGUUUGGAACAAUAUCUGGCACAGAAUAAAUGUUCAAAUAGAGUGAACUACAAUGAUUUAAAUGUUGCACUUUGAGCAAUGAAUUUGGAAAGGGACCU
rnacentral:lncRNA from 10 species